AUUUCGGCUCUCUCAUUUUUCACAACCAAAGAGCUCACUAAAACUACAUAUAACGAUGUAGACCUUUUAUUUCUUUCAUGCUCUAAUUUAAACCGUUUUAACUAGUAAAAUUUUAAAGUUUUUUUUUAUGGCGAGCAAUAAUUUUCUGGAAAGUUCUAUAACUAAUGGCUUUACCCACACAAUAAAUAUCUGGGAUCGAUCAUCGAUGAGAACACGGUAAAUGGCUCUACAUAUAGUGUACCACGUACGACCAGGGGCGGAUCUAGCAUAAUAACACGACAUACGGCUCUACACGAAUAGUCCAUAAUAACAUGACAAACGCAUAAUGUUAUUUGGGGUGGGUGGGGUGGGGGGGGAGAGGGGGCAAAAUGGAGAUAUUUCCAUAAUACAUAUGGAGAUAGUUUCAUGAACAGUC